UGCACCUCCCAGCCCCACCGCUGUCGCUGCCGCUGCUGCCGUGUUGCUAAUUCCCGCCGCCGCCGCGCCUGCCGCUUAGGCUACUGCACCUCCCAGCCCCACCGCCGUCGCUGCCGCUGCUGCUGCGUUGCUAUUUACCGCCGCCGCCGCGCCUGCCGUUUAGGCUACUGCACCUCCCAGCCCCACCGCCGUCGCUGCCGCUGCUGCUGUGUUGCUAGGCCCUGCCGCCACCGCGCCUGCCGCUUAGGCUACUGCACCUCCCAGCCCCACCGCUGUCGCUGCCGCUGCUGCCGUGUUGCUAAUUCCCGCCGCCGCCGCGCCUGCCGCUUAGGCUACUGCACCUCCCAGCCCCACCGCCGUCGCUGCUGCUGCUGUUGCGUUGCUAUUUACCGCCGCCGCCGCGCCUGGCGUUUAGGCUACUGCACCUCCCAGCCCCACCGCUGUCGCUGCUGCUGCUGUUGCGUUGCUAUUUCCCGCCGCCGCCGCGCCUGCCGCUUAGGCUACUGCACCUCCCAGCCCCACCGCCGUCGCUGCUGCUGCUGUUGCGUUGCUAUUUACCGCCGCCGCCGCGCCUGCCGUUUAGGCUACUGCACCUCCCAGCCCCACCGCCGUCGCUGCUGCUGCUGUUGCGUUGCUAUUUACCGCCGCCGCCGCGCCUGCCGUUUAGGCUACUGCACCUCCCAGCCCCACCGCCGUCGCUGCCGCUGCUGCUGUGUUGCUAAUUCCCGCCGCCGCCGCGCCUGCCGCUUAGGCUACUGCACCUCCCAGCCCCACCGCCGUCGCUGCUGCUGCUGUUGCGUUGCUAUUUACCGCCGCCGCCGCGCCUGCCGUUUAGGCUACUGCACCUCCCAGCCCCACCGCCGUCGCUGCUGCUGCUGUUGCGUUGCUAUUUACCGCCGCCGCCGCGCCUGCCGUUUAGGCUACUGCACCUCCCAGCCCCACCGCCGUCGCUGCUGCUGCUGUUGCGUUGCUN
rnacentral:lncRNA from 1 species